rnacentral:rRNA from 1 species
AGAGUUUGAUCAUGGCUCAGAUUGAACGCUGGCGGCAGGCUUAACACAUGCAAGUCGAACGGUAACAGGAAGGAAGCUUGCUUUCUUUGCUGACGAGUGGCGGACGGGUGAGUAAUGCGUGGGAAUCUGGCUUAUGGAGGGGGAUAACUACGGGAAACUGUAGCUAAUACCGCGUAAUAUCUUCGGAUUAAAGGGUGGGACUUUCGGGCCACCUGCCAUAAGAUGAGCCCAAGUGGGAUUAGGUAGUUGGUGGGGUAAAGGCCUACCAAGCCGACGAUCUCUAGCUGGUCUGAGAGGAUGACCAGCCACACUGGAACUGAGACACGGUCCAGACUCCUACGGGAGGCAGCAGUGGGGAAUAUUGCACAAUGGGGGGAACCCUGAUGCAGCCAUGCCGCGUGAAUGAAGAAGGCCUUCGGGUUGUAAAGUCCUUUCGGUGAUGAGGAAGGUGUUUGUUUUAAUAGAACAAGCAAUUGACGUUAGUCACAGAAGAAGCACCGGCUAACUCCGUGCCAGCAGCCGCGGUAAUACGGAGGGUGCGAGCGUUAAUCGGAAUGACUGGGCGUAAAGGGCACGCAGGCGGUGACUUAAGUGAGAUGUGAAAGCCCCGAGCUUAACUUGGGAAUUGCAUUUCAUACUGGGUCGCUAGAGUAUUUUAGGGAGGGGUAGAAUUCCACGUGUAGCGGUGAAAUGCGUAGAGAUGUGGAGGAAUACCGAAGGCGAAGGCAGCCCCUUGGGAAUAUACUGACGCUCAUGUGCGAAAGCGUGGGGAGCAAACAGGAUUAGAUACCCUGGUAGUCCACGCUGUAAACGCUGUCGAUUUGGGGAUUGGGCUUAGAGCUUGGUGCCCGUAGCU